rnacentral:piRNA from 1 species
CAGUUACUAGGGACUCUUGUAUGUAAUU